ACUAACUGAUUCACACUAAUGGUAACCUAUAAAUCAAAUGAAAUAAAUUUGCUGCUAACAGCAAGAUAUAAAUGAAACGAAACUAUAUCUGGCAAACCAACAGCUGCAGCAAUCAAUGUACAGAAGGAAGGAUAGAGUAGAAGCCCUUUUCAUCCAAACAUGACUUGUACAAUAAAUCAGACAAGAAAGUUUAUCGCCUGAGAUCCUAUGGCUUGAGUCAUUCUGUAGACGAUGAAGGCAAUGUAAGGUUCAAGAUGAAGCCAACCAAAAUUCCAAUAAGCCCCACAACAAAUGCGAAAGUCAGGGAAAAGCCCGGAGCACUUUUCCGAUAUCCCCGUCUCUUCAUCAUAGACAGUUCCUUUUGCAGUUGAUGAGUUUGUCGAACAGCUGCAUCCCUUUCAUCCUUUAGGAGCUGUAAUGCUGAGUUAGCAUCAGGACUCUGUGAGGAGCUCUUUGAUGCCUCUUCUUCUGAGUUUUCUUGAGUUGAUGGAUUGACAUAUACAACUCUAAGCUUGCACUCCUCUAAUGUCUUUCCACUACUUUCCUUAUUAAAAGUAUCUGGCGGAAGCUCAUCAACAUCAGUAUGUGGAAGUAUGGUUGUACUCUGCAAGAGAAACUUAUCUUUGCAUUGCAUAUCUGCAGGGUAUUCUUGUUGGGCUUGAAGAGUAACUCUGAUGACACAUGAGUCCCAAGGCUGUAUGACGCCAGUGUUGGGCCUUACAAAAUACUUCUUGGGCGAAGUAGUUUUAAUCUUAAAAGCAACAUGGUUCGCUGUAUUGUUCACAACUUUAAGAUCACAAAAGCUUUGCUUCUCCAGCUCAAAAACGAACUUGAGCUCAUCAGGAUGAACUGAGAUCAACUGAUUACCACCACCGGCAGUCAUGUCGGACCCACCAAAGACAGAUCAAUCUCAAACACAAAAAUUCUCACACAAUCCGAAAAACCAA
rnacentral:misc_RNA from 1 species